CCUCCAGAGGAUCUGUGGUUUCUUUUUUCAAGUGAGAUUGUCUUAAGAACAAUGAAAUAGACAGUUCUAUUGCCAGAAGCAGGAACCAAAGGAGACCUCUGAAAGCCCCAGACAAUUUCAGGUGACCAGGAUGAGACUUGCUAGGAUACCUCACUCCAGACAAGAUCCUACAAAAAGUGGCAGAAGUCAACAAAGGGUGAGAAUUCUCACCAAAGUCAUUUCUCCCAGAUCUCUGUCUGUAGGAAGGUAAAAUUUCACA